rnacentral:rRNA from 1 species
UACAGAGGUCCCAAGCGUUGUUCGGAUUCACUGGGCGUAAAGAGCUCGUAGGCGGUCUGUCGCGUCGGCUGUGAAAACCCGGAGCUCAACUCCGGGCCUGCAGUCGAUACGGGCAAACUGGAGUGUUGCAGGGGAGACUGGAAUUCCUGGUGUAGCGGUGAAAUGCGCAGAUAUCAGGAGGAACACCGGUGGCGAAGGCGGGUCUCUGGGCAACAACUGACGCUGAGGAGCGAAAGCGUGGGGAGCGAACAGG